CUCAUACAUUAAUUUUAUUUCUUAUAAUUUUAUUUUUUAGGCCCAUCCAACCUCCCUACCUUGUGGGGAUCUUCUCCCUGGUGUCCAGUUGGGUUUUUCUUCCUGGGGUCGGUGGGCCUUCCAUUUCCUGUUUCCUCGCGUGCCCUCUGUAGUGAUGCCGGGGCCAAAGUGACGUCAUAUUCCUGCUCCCGGCAUCACCACAGCCGUCGCACGAGGGAGCAGACAGGAACUGAAAACACAUCAGUACUCCUUGUCUGCACCCCCGCUUGCUUCCUCUCCCCUG